GACGAACGCUGGCGGCGUGCUUAACACAUGCCAGUCGAACGGAAAGGCCUGUCCUUCCUUGUGUUGGACGGGUACUCGAGUGGCGAACGGGUGAGUAACACGUGAGUGAUCUGCCCCCAACUUGGGUAUAAGCCUGGGAAACUGGGUCUAAUUCCCGAUAGGACUGCAGGGUGGUGCCUGUGGUGGAAAACGAUUUUCUAGUGGUUGGGGAUGAGCUCGCGGCCUAUCAGCUUGUUGGUGGGGUAAUGGCCUACCAAGGCGGCGACGGGUAGCCGGCCUGGGAGGGUGGACGGCCACAUUGGGACUGAGAUACGGCCCAGACUCCUACGGGAGGCAGCAGUGGGGAAUAUUGCACAAUGGGCGGAAGCCUGAUGCAGCGACGCCGCGUGGGGGAUGACGGCCUUCGGGUUGUAAACUCCUUUCGACCGCGAGGAAGCCGCCUGGUUGGAAGGGUGGUGACGGUAGUGGUAGAAGAAGCACCGGCUAACUACGUG
rnacentral:rRNA from 1 species